rnacentral:rRNA from 1 species
GACGAACGCUGGCGGCGUGCCUAAUACAUGCAAGUAGAACGCUGAAGGAGGAGCUUGCUUCUCUGGAUGAGUUGCGAACGGGUGAGUAACGCGUAGGUAACCUGCCUGGUAGCGGGGGAUAACUAUUGGAAACGAUAGCUAAUACCGCAUAAUAGUAGAUGUUGCAUGACAUUUGCUUAAAAGGUGCAAUUGCAUCACUACCAGAUGGACCUGCGUUGUAUUAGCUAGUUGGUGAGGUAACGGCUCACCAAGGCAACGAUACAUAGCCGACCUGAGAGGGUGAUCGGCCACACUGGGACUGAGACACGGCCCAGACUCCUACGGGAGGCAGCAGUAGGGAAUCUUCGGCAAUGGACGGAAGUCUGACCGAGCAACGCCGCGUGAGUGAAGAAGGUUUUCGGAUCGUAAAGCUCUGUUGUAAGAGGAGAACGAGUGUGAGAGUGGAAAGUUCACACUGUGACGGUAUCUUACCAGAAAGAGACGGCUAACUACGUG